GUAAGUCAGUUGUGAAAGUUUGCGGCUCAACCGUAAAAUUGCAGUUGAUACUGUCAGUCUUGAGUACAGUAGAGGUGGGCGGAAUUCGUGGUGUAGCGGUGAAAUGCUUAGAUAUCACGAAGAACUCCGAUUGCGAAGGCAGCUCACUGGACUGCAACUGACACUGAUGCUCGAAAGUGUGGGUAUCAAACAGGAUUAGAUACCCUGGUAGUCCACACAGUAAACGAUGAAUACUCGCUGUUUGCGAUAUACAGUAAGCGGCCAAGCGAAAGCAUUAAGUAUUCCACCUGGGGAGUACGCCGGCAACGGUGAAACUCAAAGGAAUUGACGGGGGCCCGCACAAGCGGAGGAACAUGUGGUUUAAUUCGAUGAUACGCGAGGAACCUUACCCGGGCUUAAAUUGCAGUGGAAUGAUGUGGAAACAUGUCAGUGAGCAAUCACCGCUGUGAAGGUGCUGCAUGGUUGUCGUCAGCUCGUGCCGUGAGGUGUCGGCUUAAGUGCCAUAACGAGCGCAACCCUUAUCUUCAGUUACUAACAGGUCAUGCUGAGGACUCUGGAGGGACUGCCGUCGUAAGAUGUGAGGAAGGUGGGGAUGACGUCAAAUCAGCACGGCCCUUACGUCCGGGGCUACACACGUGUUACAAUGGGGGGUACAGAAGGCAGCUAGCGGGUGACCGUAUGCUAAUCCCAAAAUCCUCUCUCAGUUCGGAUCGAAGUCUGCAACCCGACUUCGUGAAGCUGGAUUCGCUAGUAAUCGCGCAUCAGCCACGGCGCGGUGAAUACGUUCCCGGGCCUUGUACACACCGCCCGUCAAGCCAUGGGAGCCGGGNNUACCUGAAGUACGUAACCGCAAGGAUCGUCCUAGGGUAAAACUGGUGACUGGGGAUAAGUCGUAACAAGGUAACCA
rnacentral:rRNA from 1 species